rnacentral:rRNA from 1 species
AGAUAUGAUCCAGAGUACCACGGGACACGUGAAACCCUGUGGGAAGCAGGAGGGACCACCCUCCAAGGCUAAAUACUACCUAGUGACCGAUAGCGUAUAGUACCGUGAGGGAAAGGUGAAAAGAACCCCGGGAGGGGAGUGAAAUAGAACCUGAAACCCUGCACUUACAAGCUGUGGAAGCACAUUUCUUGUGUGACCGCGUACUUUUUGUAGAACGGGCCAACGAGUUACGUUAAGUAGCAAGGUUAAGCACUUAAGGUGCGGAGCCGUAGCGAAAGCGAGUUUUAACUGAGCGUUCAGUUA